rnacentral:hammerhead_ribozyme from 1 species
GCUUUGCUGACGAGUCCCAAACAGGACGAAACAACUGUUCAGUGC